rnacentral:lncRNA from 1 species
UAAGGAUUAAGUGAUGAAAAAUUGAUUGAGAUGUCAUGGGCAUGUAUAAUGAAGAUUUGAGGAUGUUCUAGUAAAGAGUGUGCAACAAUCCAGGAUCUCACCCAAAAAGGCUAGCCGGAAGGUAUUAUUUGAGUUCUUUGAUUUUAUAUAAAUACCCAAGAUCUACCCAGCGAAUAACCGAUGUGGAACUAAACACACGCCCACAUGGGUCCUCACAUACUCCCUCCGUUUAAACUUUGAUAUUCUCGUCAGGCUAAGGGUUCAAAUUCAUUCAAAUAUAAUCGCAAGCACCACGAUUGGCCCAUGGUUAGCCCCAAAAAAUUCAUGCUGCAAUGUCCCCUAGUCUACAUAAGUUAUGGGCCAGGUCCGCUCUGAUACCAUUUGUAACAAUCUAAGACCUCACCCAAAAAGGCUAGCCGAAAGAUAUUAUUUGGGUUUUUUGAUCCUGUAUAAUUAUCCAAGAUCUAUCCAGCGAAUAAUCGAUGUGGGACUAAACACACGCCCGCACGGAUCUUCACAGAGUGUUACUUUGAUUUUGUGUUGAAGGUGAUAAGAAAAAGGAGGGGAGGACCUAAGGUGACAUAGAUGGAGAUUAUGAGAAAUGAUGUAAAGAAAUUUGAAAUAAUAUCAGACUUGACCCUAAAUAGGAAUGUGUGGCGAAUGAGGAUCCAUAAAACAGAUCCUAAAUAGUUAGAAAAAGACUAAAUGGUUAUGGUUACGGUUAUGCAUGUCAUGUGCAAAUGAACUUUAACAUGUCAUGGUUGUGCAAGUUUAAACAUGUUUCGCAAAUACUAUGCUAAAACAUAAAAUAUUUUAUUUUUAGAAAUUCUGCUGUGCUAAGUUAUGCAUAUGAAAAAUAGAUUAUACAGAAUUAUUUAAUGACUUGUAGUUGAUGCUAAAGUCAUGUCCAAGUUGCCUAAUUAACUAUCACAAGAUGUGCAGAUAUGAAUGACUUACUCUUGCUGCUAAUCUUAGUAUUUAUGUUUAUCUCUGUCUUGUAUUUGUCUGCGUGACUGUUGAUCUGGAGCGUUCUAUUAAUAAAUUUUUCUUUGCACUUUGCUGCUUGAAUCAUGGUAUUCUAGAGAUCCUUCUGAGCAAGAUAAUGC